rnacentral:RNase_MRP_RNA from 1 species
CUGUCAUUGGACGAAGUGAAUGGGUCAAAUGGGCUUGCCUAAGUUCCGACCCAGGAAAGUCCCCGGGCCACUAUUUCGCAGAGAUGCGGCCUCGGCAACGAGAGAAUCAUGCGGUGGAGAGUCCCAAUCAGCUGAGACGCGUGUGUGGAGCUUACGUGGUCUCUCUGCCAAUGAUACCAUGGCCGUUCGUUUCACGACAGUUAUUCACAGGGUUCUUAAUGGACUUAACUGAACGGGGCUUACGUUCCAAUGACA